CCGUUAGCUGGUUCGAGUAGUCAGUUAAUAGUUUCUCCUCUAUUUCUCCUUUGUAGACUUGGCACACAUUCUAUGGAAUGUGUGCAUUUUU
rfam:Neisseria animaloris strain DSM 21642 NODE_1_length_568283_cov_40.5228_ID_1, whole genome shotgun sequence.